UUUUACUUCCUCUGUGUUGUUUUUCUUCUCUCUCAUUCGCUCUCUUUAGUUUCCCUCCCGUUUCCUAUUGUUACAUAAUCCUGAUUUUACAGCCAUCUCCCGUUAAUCUUUGAAGUGGCAUUUCUUUAACUCCUCAGUGAUCUGCCUUUGUGUGCUUCUUGUCUGUUUCUUGGAUUUGUUUUGCUUUUUUGCACAGUUUGGACUUGUUGCAUCUUUUGGACUUUGGACUGUCCUCAUAAAAGUGUGGAGUAGCUGCAGAGACGUCGCUUGCAACAGCAGAAGGACAUCAUCACAUCCAGAGUGAAGUAAACAUGAAGGCCACAGUGGGACUGCUGCUUCUGCUGCUCACGGUUUAUUACUGCGCUGCUGCACCUCAACAAUUGCUUCUAAUGUCUCCUGGACAAUGCUGUUCCAGAUUCUUUACUGGAAGGAUACCACAGAAGAAAAUAGUCUCUGUCAUCAUGACUCACAGCGCCUGUCUGGAAAAAGCAUUUCUGAUCGGUACAGCCUCCGGGAAGCACAUCUGUGUGAGCCAGAGUGUCACCUGGGCUCAAGAAGCUUUUGCAUCAAUGACCGAUCUGCAGAACGAUGAUGAAUAAAGCUCUUCAGAGUUCAUGAUCAAGCAUAAUAAAGCUUUGAGUUAUGUUAACCCAUGCUAGCAAUUUUAUAAUCAGUCUUGUUUUGCCUUAGAAGACAGCUGCAGCCUGGGUUUUGUACUGGGCAUUUUGUUUUGGACCCAGUUUCCUGUUUGAUAUUUUCCAUUUUAUAUUUUUGGAGUUUUCAGUUUGGAUGUUACCUUUGCCUAGGUUAUGUGUUUAUUCUAAUGGUGUAAGUUUUUCCUGUCCUCCUAUGUUCCCCAUGCCUAGUUCUGUGUUGAUGUAGUACUUCCUUGAUUUAGUUCAUCUCUGUCUUCAUUUGUACUAUGGAUUUGCAGCUGCCAACUAAAUAAAGGUCAGUCUUUGGUUCUUCAA